GUAUCUCAUAACUACUUCUUAUAUUCUGGGCAUUGGAAUACCUGUAUUUUUAGACACAUAUAGAUGUACACAUGCAUCUCUGCUUCUCAACAAUGGCCCAGUGCUGUCCUAAAGAGGUUCUGAUUCCCAAUUAACAAAUGAGACGUUGAGCGAUCUGACUACUUGCUGGCAGGGAAGAUCAGAUGACAGAGCAGAAAAUUAGAGUUUUCAGGGGGACUUUUCCCAGUGGACAUGGAUCAUCAGUUCCUCCCAGCUUCCUGCAGUCCAUCACAGUCCACAACACUUCCAGGCCUCUGAGCCAUCUGAAGGGCAGAGUCACGGCCAGGAAACCUUCUCAGUUUCAGGCAAAUAAUGAUCAUCACCACAGGCAAAGGGUGGCUUUCCACAUCCAACUUAUCUACCACCUUCUCAGUGCUCUCAGACCUGAAGAAGAGGUGGGGUUGGCAAUGAAGGAAAAUGAAGCUUUCGAUAAAAUAAAAGAUGUGUCUGGUAUCACUACUGGAAGCACAGCAAGAAGAAGGUUGGAUUUUGUGACUUGCGUGUAAUAGAAGAAAACUACAGGAGGAUUGGCAGUCAUGGGAUACUGCAGGUUUGCAAGACAGGCAUGGAAAAUCCUGCACCUUCUCUGACACACUGAGUUUGAUACUGGGCCGAAGAGAUCCUGGUUUCUCCCAUGAGAACUUGUUUGUGACUUCAGUCAAUUUAAAUAAAAGCUCUAGAAGAACAAGAAAAAAAAAUCCUUUGUGAAUCAGUUUUUCUUCCUCCAAAAUUUUCAAGCUGUCUCUGGCAUCC
rnacentral:lncRNA from 1 species